CUAAGUUCAGCGGGUAUUCCUACCUGAUCCGAGGUCAACCUUAGAAGAAAAAAAGGUCCCCAGUGAAGGGGGAGACCGGAGCCCGGGCACCCUCAAUCCAGUACGUGCUCAGUUAAGAAGCUCAGUGUACCGGGGGUCCCACGAGGCCGCCGUCAUUGUCUUUAGGAGGGGUCGUUCUACCGACCAGACCGUCCAAAACC
rnacentral:misc_RNA from 1 species